AGAAUCCAAUGGAUUACGGGUCGCCCGAGCCAACACCAUUCCCGCCACGUAAAAGAAUGAAACCAGAAGGGCGACCCAAGGGCAUCAAAACGGGUCCGAUCACGAACGUGACCGGUCCGACGAGCAAUGGAGCCAGAGAGAUCCCCACGAACAGCGACGCGAGAGCGGCCGGAGGGACCUGCGCCGUCGACGCGAUGGCGAGACGCGGCCGCCUCGAAGUGGAGGCGACGAUCGGGAGGCGCAGAAAGGGGAGGAGGGGAACUUCAUGAUGUGGGCCGUCCGGCCGAUUACGAUCGCCAGUUGUUCCGCCUCAUCUCUCGCCAUUCUCAGACGCAGAAGAUGAAGAGUGGCGAUCGGCGAUUGUAAUCGACGGGUCCAUUCUGCGUUCAAAGUCCGCGUCGCCGGAGCUUAAUUUCUCCAGAUCUGAUACUACAUUGAUCGCUUUAUUAAGCAUAGUGGAGCAUGGUGAGCUGUAGUUGUGAAAUGAUUAAAACCUAUUUAUGGGGUUUAGGUUAGUGAAGCCAUCGGUCGAGCCGAAUGCUUCGUCGAGCAUGGUGACUUCGAGCACUAAAAUGAUUACGCUUAUUGGUGCUGUUGAUUUUUGGGUUCCCGGCUGCGGAUUGUACUAAUUGAUUGGUUGACCAAAGUUGUUGACUUUCCUUGCUUAUUGGAUUCGUUGCAUCGAACAUAUGGUGAAUUUAUCAGGAACUUGUCUCUUUGUUUUCUGUUUCUUGGUUUAUAUUAUGUACAUUGUGAGGAAUAUGUUUAUUUUGCUGAAUUUUUCUGAAAAGUUGGGUAUUUGUUAUUGGAUCAUACACCUCGUUGGACUGGCCUUGUAAAAUAUAAUGUGGUGAAUGGCAGCUUGCCUUUCGAAAGCAGGCUUCUGCUGCUCUCUAUCUCUAUUAUUCUUUCCAUUCUCUUUGUUAAUGGGUUGAUGGUUUUGAUAAAUCGUGCUUGGAGUGAUUAAGGGGGGCACAUAUUUGAUGAGGCUAAGAAUUCUCUACAUUCAGUGUAUCAAUUACAUCUCCCUUUCUCUUUUACCGAUGGCAGCGAGCUUUGUAUUCUUGUUAUAGGUGAAGGAACUCAAAAUGCCUCCGCUUUUCCAGAACAGGUCUGAGUCAAAUAGCAAUGCAAUUUGUGGUCUUAGGAUGAGCGUGUCUGAGUUCAAGAGAUACCUUCCUUGGUUAAUAAUGCUCAGUCUGAAGCUUUUGGCGUUUCUGUGGUGCAGAAGUUUUUACGUAGCUUUGAUGCAUCUCAAGAUGCUUUCUCCUCAUUCCAGGCUCACUUUAACUCUUAGCGGCCACCACCAAAUCAAUCCUUCAUCAUGUAUUUCGCAUGCAUAUUCAGUUUGGUUUUCACUCCUUUUUAGCAACUUUGCGUAUGGUCGUGGGACCAAUCAACAUUCUUAGUGUGGCGUACAUUACUUAACUCAUGAGGCAGUGCAUCUUGAUACUUAAAGAGGCAUUCGGCUCUGAGCACGGGACUUUAUUAUUAUUCAAAAGAAGACUGCAUGUCUUGAUAAAGUGACUUGUUUAUAGUUAUGCCAUAAAAUUUCUAUGCUUGGCCAGAAGCACUGAUGAGCCUAGCAAUCUGGAUAUACAUACCUACCGAUGUUCAUUUACAUGGACAUGCUUAUCUGCUCUUGUGGUACACUUUCCUGUAUUAUUUUUUUGUUGACAUUGGCCAGCGUGUUUGUUGUUUUCAGAGACAGUAGUCUUUCUGGCUACUGUGCGUGUAUGUGCACAUCCACUCAUAUAAUUAAAUGUGUAUAUCCUUCUAAAUACAGAGCAGGUGCCACUGCACUGGCUAAGAGACAUGCAGAUGGGUAAUUGCCACUGGAAGACUUCAACAUAGAACUUGAAGAUCUGAGUGGAAAGAAAGUAAAUAUGGGAUCUGAAACUGAUCGAGGUGCUGUGAUGAUGGGCUUAAUGCUUCACUCAAAUGCAAAACAACUUACAAGGAGGCAAAAGUAUGAAGAUGCAUUGGAAGUUCUUGCUAUGGGUGAGGUCCGUUACUGGUGCUCUGUGGUUACUUAUGAUAAUCUAAGCAUUUUUGGCCUUAUCCAGUACCAAGCUUCAAUGCUUCUUAAUCUGUAACAUGCAUAAUGUGGGAAUUGAGAUGUAUUGUGAGGGAUGUCAUUUUGUAGAAGAGUUUACCAACUGUUCAGAUCAAUAGUUGGUUGCAUAUACUAAAAAAAAGUGGUGCCACCUUGUCCUUUC